rnacentral:rRNA from 1 species
ACGAACGCUGGCGGCGUGCUUAACACAUGCAAGUCGAACGCUGAAGACCUGGCUUUUGUUGGGUUGGAUGAGUGGCGAACGGGUGAGUAACACGUGAGUAACCUGCCCUCUUCUUUGGGAUAACGCCCGGAAACGGGUGCUAAUACUGGAUAUUCACUGAUCUUCGCAUGGGGGUUGGUGGAAAGGUUUGUUCUGGUGGGGGAUGGGCUCGCGGCCUAUCAGCUUGUUGGUGGGGUGAUGGCCUACCAAGGCUUUGACGGGUAGCCGGCCUGAGAGGGUGACCGGUCACAUUGGGACUGAGAUACGGCCCAGACUCCUACGGGAGGCAGCAGUGGGGAAUAUUGCACAAUGGGCGAAAGCCUGAUGCAGCGACGCCGCGUGAGGGAUGGAGGCCUUCGGGUUGUAAACCUCUUUCGCUCAUGGUCAAGCCGCAACUGUGGGUUGUGGUGAGGGUAGUGGGUAAAGAAGCGCCGGCUAACUACGUG